rnacentral:rRNA from 1 species
GACGAACGCUGGCGGCGUGCUUAACACAUGCAAGUCGAGCGGAAAGGCCCCUUCGGGGGUACUCGAGCGGCGAACGGGUGAGUAACACGUGAGUAAUCUGCCCUUCACUUGGGGAUAACCACCGGAAACGGUGAUUAAUACCGGAUAUGACAUCUUCACGCAUGUGAUGGGUGUGGAAAGUUUUUUCGGCCAGGGAUGUGCUCGCGGCCUAUCAGCUUGUUGGUGGGGUAAUGGCCUGCCAAGGCUUCGACGGGUAGCCGGCCUGAGAGGGUAACCGGCCACACUGGGACUGAGACGCGGCCCAGAGUCCUACGGGAGGCAGCAGUGGGGAAUAUUGGACAAUGGGCGGAAGCCUGAUCCGGCAACGCCGCGUGGGGGAUGACGGCCUUCGGGUUGUAAACAUCUUUCAGCACAGACGAAGCGCAAGUGACGGUAUGUGCAGAAGAAGGACCGGCCAACUACGUGCCAGCAGCCGCAGUAACAC